UACGAGUGCCCCGAGCGUUAUCCGGAAUCAUUGGGCGUAAAGGGUGUGUAGGUGGUUGUGUUAGUCAGUUGUUAAAACCUGGGGCUUAACCCCAGAUGUGCGACUGAAACGGCACGACUAGAGGAUGGCAGGGAUGUAUGGAACUCAUGGAGUAGGGGUGAAAUCCGUUGAUAUCAUGGGGAACACCAAAAGCGAAGGCAGUACAUUGGGCCACUCCUGACACUGAAACACGAAAGCGUGGGUAGCGAAUGGG
rnacentral:rRNA from 1 species